ensembl:lncRNA
UUUUUUUUUUUUUUUUUUUUCUUUUUGUCUCUUUAGGGCUGCACCCACGGCAUAUGGAGGUUCCCAGGAUAGGGGGUGAAUCAGAGCUGUAGUCGCCCGCCUACGCCAGAGCCACAGCAACUCGGGAUCCGAGCCUCGUCUGCAACCUACCCCACAACUGACGGCAACGCUGGAUCCUGAACCCACUGAGCGAGACCAGGGAUCGAACCCGCGUUCUCAUGGAUGCUAGUUGGAUUUGCUAACCAUUGAGCCACGACGGGAACUCCUCAGGUAUGAUGCUUGAUUGGAUCCCAGACUGAGGGGGAAAAGGCUAUUAUUGGGGAAACCGGAACAUGUGCUCACCUGAGAUAAUAUUCCAAUGAGGGGUUAGACGGCCCUGUGUGUGGCUGGACUGUGGUCACUUCGGAGGGCGCCUUGCUCUCAGAAAAUAAAUCUUUAGUAUCUAGAUCAUCUUAAUGCCCACAAAUGACUCUCAAGGGGUUCGGCCAAAAAUAAUCAUUGUUGUGAGGGAAAGAAGAGGGGCUUGGGGGAGAGGAGGAGAAAACGUAGGCAAAUGCUUGUCCAUCACUCGGGAGCGAGACGGACCUCCCAUCCAAACCCUGGUUCAGGUUCUGAGGCUGCAAAGCCCACGCGCACAUCAAGUGGGUGUGGGAUGGUUUAUCACUCACAUAGGAGGCUUUCCGGGGAGCAGGGCCGGGCCCCAGUAGGCCUGAAAAUGGCCUGAGAGCCAACAGGUGGGGGUGUCAGUGUGGUUCUCGGGGUGCUAGGGGGUUCUCAGGUAGGGUCAGGGCUUGGGUGGCCUGAGCGCUCACUGGCACCAUGUGGCCUGUUCGGCUGGCCUGCCCAGGUCUGGAGCAGAAGGGAAGCUGGGUGGCGGGAUCCGAAAGCUGCCAGCGGCCAAACAUCCGAAACGGAGUCAGGCCCUGCAGCCCAUUGGGCACAUGGGAGAUUUAGGUGAAGAGGACAGCAGCUCAUCUCGUACGAAUCCUGCAGCUUUUCUGUAGAUGGGAUACUUUUCAAAAUAAAAACUGGGAGAAAGGAAGCUGUUUCUACUUUUCUCUCACACUAGUAUCACGCAUUAGUACCUUAGAGGCAAUUUAGUCCUAAGGAAAGCUAUUUUUAUAAUAUACGAUGCUGUAUUUUUUGGGUUUUGUGUGUGUGUUUUUUUUUUCCCUUCCAGGGCCGCACCGGAGGCACAUGGAGAUUCCCAGGCCAGGGGUCCGAUCGGAGCUUCAGCUGCUGGCCUACACCACAGCCACAGCAACACCAGAUCUCCUUAACCCCGGAGCAAGGCCAGGGAUCGAACCCGCACCCUCAUGGUUCCUAGCCAGAUUCGUUUCUGCUGCACCACAAUGGGAACUCCACGAUGCUAUGUUUUAAUCAUCUGGUUAUGCUUAAUCUGAAAGCCCAUGCUCCUUCACAAAUGAAAACUUUUUACAGCUCAUUAUAAAUAUUCCUUCUUAUCGCUAGCCCUUGACACGUAGCCUUAUCACGGUCACUAUUCAAUAGAACACUCAAUACUCCGAGUUGCCUUAGUUGCAGGAACACCGAUCAUUUCAUUCAAGGAGAAGUUGGUGAGUGCUUCCUACGCCCCAGGAGUUGUCUUAGGGGCAGGGGUAAGACAGUGAAUGAGACGGGAGUGAUCAAUUCUGAUGAAGCCUCGGUAAACCUGCCAGCUGAGACAAACCCGCCGCCCUUGGUGAGUUUCUAUUUUGUCAAUAGUUAAGAGGCCUUAAUGAUAUAAAAUGUAUGGAUGUCACAAAAUUACCUACCAUUGCAGUUAGGUGAGAAUUCAAGAAUAAUACUUAUACCAAUUAUAAUUGUCAUGGAUCUCCCCAGAAAGUGUAUCAGUAACCUAUUUUAUAAUAACACACAUUUUAUUCAUUUAUUUUUGCCUUUUUAGGGCUGCACCCAUGGCAUGGAGAGGUUCCCAGGCCAGGGGUCAAAGCGGAGCUGUAGCUGCAGCCUAUGCCACAGCCACAGCAACACGGGAUCCGAGCCACGUCUGUGACCUAUGCCAUAGCUCAGGGCAACACCAGAUCCUUAACCCACUGAGUGAGGCCAGGAAUUGAACCUGCAUCCUCAUGGAUGCUGGUCGGAUUCAUUUCUGCUGUGCCACGACAGGAACUCCAUAAUACACACUUUAAAUAACACAAUUCUUCUUCUGCUAUUGCAUAAUUUAGAGCACAAUCAUAAACCUGUGCUUAUUUAUAGGAAUUGAUGGGGACAGAACCCAGCAUUGCUCAUCUAUGGCUGCUGUAAGCAGAGAGCUGGAGAAGAAACUGCCCCGCUGGUCCUAAAACACAUCCUAGCUAUGAUUACCCUACCUCUGGUACUGUUCAGACUUCAAGUGUUCUAUUCCAUUGUUUUGAGGAGCAUACGCUUGUUGGCGAAUCACUCCAGUUUUGGGUCCCCAAAGUGUAGUGUCCACAGCAAUAACAGAUCAAGCUGUAUGAGAAAAUGGGGGCAAGUGGGCUGUUGGUGGCGUUUAAAUUGUUGUCACUUCUUUGACUCGACUUCUAUAUCUGGAAAUUUACCAACAGGUAAAUUUUAUAUAUGUGCUCAAAAAUGGUAUGGUUGCUUAUUACAGCUUUAUAAAAAAAUAAAAGACCAGUAAUUCAAGAAGAAUUAAGCCAGUUAUAUUCAUUGUGCCGUGGAAUACCAUACAGACAAUAAAAAUCAAGUCCAUCUAGAUAUGCUGGUAAACUUCCAAUACAUAGGUAAGCGAAUAAAGAAAGGUACAGGAGGAAAGCAUGCCUAGGAUGCUUGCGUCUGCGUAAGACACCGAGAGUACGUAUGUGACCCUGUAUAGCCGACCCUCGAGCAACUGCGCAAGUUCACGGAUGUGCGGAUUUUUUCUUUCAAAAAUACAUCCAGUACUACACGAUCCACAGUUGGGUGCAUCUGCGGGUGCAGAACCAAAGUGGGAGAGCUGCCCAUGGGAUGUGAGCAUCCUCGGGCUUUAGUAUCCGCAGUGGGUUCUGGAACCAAUCCCUUAAGGAUACUGAGGGACGACUGCAUACACACAGACUAUGUCUGGUUGGUGUCAUGAGAACUUUGCAACCUUAGCGACCUUUGAGAAAGGGGAAUGGGGUUGGAGGAAGACAUGUUUUGCAUUUUCCUACGUAUCCUCGUAAUAUUUACUGUUUUUACCCUGUGUGUGUGCAUACUGCAUACAAGAAGUGUAUAAUAACGCGUGUGUAUGUUUACAUAUGACGAUAUUGGUCACUGUGGUUGCUAUCUCGUAUUAAGUAAGAAAGAAGAAAGUUGAAGAGCUCUGAACAAGACUCUCACAUCGCCGUUGAGCCGUUCUCACACUGAGAUGCUCCUCCAGCUCACAAAGUGAAGGUAACUCACCUGCAAAGGUCUGCACAGAUCCAUCCCGUCACAGAGGCACGUGGAGGAAGCAGGUCCCCGUGGCCCUCACGUCUGUUUAUUCGCAAUCCUGUUUCGGUGCCAGUGGGAAGCAGGGAGGUGCGUGCGUGUUUGUGGGGAGCAGGGAGAGGGCUAGCAAAUCAGAGCAGAAGCAGAACAGCGUACAACAUAAGACUUGGUGCUGAGCUGUAGAUUAGAAGGGGCCCUAGGUUAAUGUCCCUCCAUGCUUGGCAUUUCCGGUGGUUCUGCAAAUAAUGGAGAGAAAGCAAUGCCCAGCCACCAGCCUGUUCCAAUCGUGCACACAUUCAUAACUUCCCUUCCCCACCCUUCCGGGUCUGCAAGAACUGCUGUCCAUCCCCGUCCUUUGUGGGUUACCAUCUCAUAUGGAGUCUGGUUUUGGUUUACCCACUUCUUCACACAAUCCUAUCAAAGUUUUAGAGAUCUGACCACACAGGUCGUCGGAUUCAACCUUCCAAUGUUACAGGUAAGGAAGGAAACAGGCAACAGAAGUCGUGUCUUCUGGCUUUUAGACACAUGCGAAUUCCUUUCUGGUCCAAAUGUGGUGACUUGCUCCUGGAGGCCACUCCGAAUUCUUGUACUUCUUUUUCCCCAAACUGUCCCCUCUCUGCCACCAUCUCUGGUGCACCGGGAGAGCAAAGUGGCCUUCUGGUGGGAGCCAGGGAAACUAAGGUGAGAGCUGAAAAGUAUCUGAACUAUAACUCUCUAUGCCAUCAAGCAUCCGUAGGACGUGUGCUUAUGAGAUUUUUUUAAACAUCCAUUUCUUUUCCCAGGGGGCAUGCCCACGUACUUAUAUUAAUGGUUAUAAAUCACCCUCUGAGGUUUUUUUCAUAAUAAUAAAAAAUCUGAUCAAUUAUGCUUUUUAAAAAAUUCCAUUGAUCUAUUAGGGGAAAAAAUUAUUAUAACUGGUUUCCAGGGGUCACGUAGAUGGAGGUCAGUUAGUGUUCUGGAUGUUCACCUUUGACUGGUUUUAGAGGCACAGCAUGAAUAAUAACUCCCCAGCCCCCAUUGCCAGAUGCCCCCCAAAGCCAGCGACCCCUUGAUCCUACAGGGAAGCCAUAAAACCCCAAAGCCAGUGUGAUGGCAAAGAGGAGCAUCAUAAGGAACCAGUGCUGGCUUCGGUCAUUAACUUGCCAGAUGAAGGAACGGGGACCAUAGACAGAUUCAAUGCAGCUCAGGCAAUUUCAGGAGUAAGACAUGAGAGGUCGUAGGUCCAGUUCAAAGCCCCCUACACCCCUUCAGUGCAGAGGCUCCCCUUUAGGGGACUUUGCACCAGAGAGUGGCAGGAAUCCAGAAAACUGCGCUGGAUGGGAUCUUAGCCAAUAUCCUACCUUUUUUGUUUGUUUGUUUGCUUUAUAGGGCUGCACUUGUGGCAUAAGGAAGUUCCCAGGCCAGGCGUCAAAUAGGAGCUGCAGCUGCCACCUACACCACAGCCACAGCAACGUGGGAUCCAAGACACAUCUGUGACCUACACCACAGCUCAUGGCAAUGCCAGAUCCUUAAUCCACUGAGCAAGACAAGGGAUCGAACCUGCAUCCUCAUGGACACUGGCCAGUAGGUUACUGCUGGGCCAUGACGGGAACUUCAGAAACUACCUAUUUUUAAAACACUCAUGAGAUGGAUUGAAUGCAAUAAUAUACAGUUGACAUUGUUUUACAUCCAAAACGCGUCUUAAAAGAAAUUAGAGUUAAAAGCAGAAGACAAAACAAUACAGACCAGUCAGGGUGUGGGCGGGGAGGGGAAGAAUGGACAUGGAUUUCAGAGCGGCCACUGAGAACCUUCAGGGGCGAAGAAGAGAAUAGGUCUCCAACCAGAGUGUAAGCUUUGGAAACUAUGGUUGGAUGUUCUAUCUCAAUGCGGAGUACCUGAUGGAGUAUCAUGUGAUUAAACCAAGGUUUCUAAGAAAAUAAUUCCUUGAAAAGGGGCCAAUGUGAAAAGAAGGAAAAAAAUAGAUGUGCCUUCUUAUGGGAGGAGGUCAAUAAAUAGAAUUACUCAGUGUUGUCAUCCGAGACUCUUCCCACACGGUCUCCAACACGCUUAUCUUCACAGCUAGCUGAGCACGGGAACAUCCUCUCAUGUCUAAGUUCAAAGCCGUGAAGAACAGUAGAAGCAAAGCAAAACAAAAGCUGUGGCUCGGAUUGUCCAUGUGCACACAACAAUGUCUCUAAGUUGUGCAGAUAAAAUCUUUAUAGGUGUAACCUUUUAUGCAAAUAUCUCCCACCAGUAUAAUCUAAACACAUGUUGGAAACAGAGCCAGCUGGGGCCCACAGAGAACCACACUCUAUGAUGUUACACGCACACGUGUACACAUGCAUGUACACACACACACAUGUUCACACAUGUCAGAUCACUUCAAAGGACAUCCGAAGACCUAUUCAGCCAAACGGGGACAGGGCACUUCAUUUUCCCCUUGACCCCACCACACACAUACAUCAGGGAGAAAAGGAAACCAUCCGGGCGUGUCCCCGAUGGCCCACGGGCCCCUCACGGUCAUCCUGUGAAGCUCCUGAAGAGAGACAGGAGCUGUUACAGGAAGCGGACACCCACCCCGGGGACUGGGCCUGGGAAGGA